rnacentral:rRNA from 1 species
GACGAACGCUGGCGGCGUGCUUAACACAUGCAAGUCGAACGGAAAGGCCCUGCUUUUGUGGGGUGCUCGAGUGGCGAACGGGUGAGUAACACGUGAGUAACCUGCCCUUGACUUUGGGGUAACUUCAGGAUACUGGGGCUAAUACCGGAUAGGAGCUCCUGCUGCAUGGUGGGGGUUGGAAAGUUUCGGCGGUUGGGGAUGGACUCGCGGCUUAUCAGCUUGUUGGUGGGGUAGUGGCUUACCAAGGCUUUGACGGGUAGCCGGCCUGAGAGGGUGACCGGCCACAUUGGGACUGAGAUACGGCCCAGACUCCUACGGGAGGCAGCAGUGGGGAAUAUUGCACAAUGGGCGGAAGCCUGAUGCAGCAACGCCGCGUGCGGGAUGACGGCCUUCGGGUUGUAAACCGCUUUCGCCUGUGACGAAGCGUGAGUGACGGUAAUGGGUAAAGAAGCACCGGCUAACUACGUG